rnacentral:rRNA from 1 species
CUUAAUAGUAAAGAACUGAAGCACACCAGAUCCCAUCUGAUCUUGGAAGCUAAGCUGGGUCAGUCUGGUUAGUACUUGGAUGGGAGACACCAAUGAGUGUCAGGUACUGUGAGCU